rnacentral:rRNA from 1 species
GGUUAAGCGACUAAGCGUACACGGUGGAUGCCCUGGCAGUCAGAGGCGAUGAAGGACGUGCUAAUCUGCGAUAAGCGUCGGUAAGGUGAUAUGAACCGUUAUAACCGGCGAUUUCCGAAUGGGGAAACCCAGUGUGAUUCGUCACACUAUCAUUAACUGAAUCCAUAGGUUAAUGAGGCGAACCGGGGGAACUGAAACAUCUAAGUACCCCGAGGAAAAGAAAUCAACCGAGAUUCCCCCAGUAGCGGCGAGCGAACGGGGAGCAGCCCAGAGCCUGAAUCAGUGUGUGUGUUAGUGGAAGCGUCUGGAAAGGCGUGCG